rnacentral:rRNA from 1 species
UACGGGGGGGGCAAGCGUUGUUCGGAAUUACUGGGCGUAAAGGGCUCGUAGGCGGCUAACUAAGUCAGAUGUGAAAUCCCCAGGCUCAACUUGGGAACUGCGUCUGAUACUGGAUGGCUUGAAUUCGGGAGAGGGAUGCAGAAUUCCAGGUGUAGCGGUGAAAUGCGUAGAUAUCUGGAGGAAUACCGGUGGCGAAGGCGGCAUCCUGGACCGAGAUUGACACUGAUGAGCGAAAGCUAGGGGAGCAAACAGG